rnacentral:tRNA from 1 species
GAGGGUAUAGCUCAAGUGGUAGAGUGCAUGCUUAGCAUGCACGAGGUCCUAGGUUCAAUCCCCAGUACCUCCU